rnacentral:rRNA from 1 species
UCACCCCUCCUUGUUUAUCCCGCCUAUAUACCACCGUCGUCAGCUUACCCUGCGAAGAUCCAACAGUAAGCACAAUUGGCACAGCCCAAAACGUCAGGUCGAGGUGUAGCGUAUGGAGGGGGAAGAAAUGGGCUACAUUCCCUACCUCAGGGAAUCACGAACGAUACUCUGAAAUAAGUAUCUAAAGGAGGAUUUAGCAGUAAGCAGAAAAUAGAGCGUUCCGCUGAAACCGGCCCUGAAGCGCGCACACACCGCCCGUCACUCUCCCCGAGCUUAAUAAACUCAACUAACUAAAACCCUAUAACUGCAAAGGGGAGGCAAGUCGUAACAUGGUAAGUGUACCGGAAGGUGCACUUGGAAAAAU